rnacentral:rRNA from 1 species
UACGUAGGUGGCGAGCGUUGUCCGGAAUUACUGGGCGUAAAGGGAGCGUAGGCGGUUUAAUAAGUGGGAUGUGAAAUCCCCGGGCUUAACCUGGGAAUUGCAUUUCAAACUGUUAGACUAGAGUGCGGGAGAGGAAAGUGGAAUUCCAAGUGUAGCGGUGAAAUGCGUAGAGAUUUGGAGGAACACCAGUGGCGAAGGCGACUUUCUGGACCGUAACUGACGCUGAUGCUCGAGAGCGUGGGGAG